rnacentral:rRNA from 1 species
AAUAUUGGACAAGGGGGGCAACCCUGAUCCAGCCAUGCCGCGUGUGUGAAUAAGUAUUUCGGUAUGUAAAGCACUAUCAGCAGGGAAGAAAAUGACGGUACCUAACUAAGAAGCCCCGCCUAACUACGCGCCAGCAGCCGCGGUAAUACGUAGGGGGCAAGCGUUAUCCGGAUUUACUGGGUGUAAAGGGAGCGUAGGUGGCAUAUCAAGUCAGAUGUGAAAGCCCGGGGCUCAACUCCGGGAUUGCAUUUGAAACUGGUUAGCUAGAGUGCAGGAGAGGUAAGUGGAAUUCCUAGUGUAGCGGUGAAAUGCGUAGAUAUUAGGAGGAACACCAGUGGCGAAGGCGGCUUACUGGACUGUAACUGACACUGAGGCUCGAAAGCGUGGGGAGCAAACA